GGCUAAUUGGGUUAACAUUUGUGUCAUUAAACCAAUAAAAUCAGGACGUGAGAAGACUCCAGUUUAAGGCCAGAGACUGCAGAGGAAACACGAAUGCGUGGCCUGCUGUGGAGGCAUUUCCACGCCCUGGUGCAGUCUAGACAGUUCAGCAUGGUUGAGUUCAUUUCUUUAAUGCAAAUGAUGAACGCAUAGGUUUAUAUGCAUGAAGACAGACUGAGGCCCUACACAAAAAAAACUCUUGAGGGGAUGCGUAGCAGAAGAUUCCCGGGGUGAUUAUCAUGUUAAUCAGCGGAGCAGGAGCCUCUCAACCCCGUCUACGCGUUUCAGCUGCAGACACCAACAUCUCCGGCAACUUUUGAGUGACAAGCCACAUUCAGAUAUAGAACCUAUAUCAACGCACUGAUGCAGUUAAAGAGACCUGAACCACACUAUCAGUGAAGACGUGGUGUUUAAUUAAUGGCAGGUUGAAACUUGCUACACGGGGACAUUUAAAAUGAUGAACACACUUGACUCUUUGGAGACAAACCCUGGGAUUAUAUCAUAUGGACAACGUGAGAAAGUUGCACAGUCGAAAAUCACGUUGGCCGAACGCCCCUGUGGGAGUUACGACGUUGGGUGAGUGAUGGUGCCACCUUGCACUUCUGCGUGGGUCUGUUGGGGGGCGUGAGAGGCGCUGGCGGUCCUCAUUAUAAUUACAUCGCUCUUGCAUAAUAUCAGAAAAUCUCAGAGGGUGGGAACAGUGUUACCUCACUGACUCACGAGGGGGUGGGUCUUGGACGGGCUAUAUGAUUUUGGACAAAUGAGACGUUAGACCAUUUGGAGACAACGGUGGUGGAGAUGUAGCCGUCCACGCGGACAGCCCCAACUCCCCUGUUCGUUGAGGGGAGGACGGGGGGCUGUGGACGCGGUGGGCCGCCGCGUGACGAUACGCAGGAGGACAAAAAAACCCCGAGGAGGACCCGUUAGAUUUUAAAAAAUGGACGGUGCCGCCGGGACGUCACGACGCGCCGUCGCCACAAAGCCCCAUACGCGUCUCAUGAACGCGCUCAUUUGGCUUCCAGCUCGCCGCACGUCCGGAGGGACCGCCGCUUACCGGGAGCUCGCCCAGACGCCGCGCCGCGCCGCGCCGCGCGCCCUGCCGCGUCCGAAGGGGGAGACGAACCUAACACACCAGAAAGAGAAACGAACGAAGACCAAGACGCCCCGCAGCCCCCAGGUUUCUGAUGAGCCUGAAGAGGAGAAGCGCCUCCUCUUUGAAUCCACCAGUGAUGGACAGUGGUGUGUUAUUACUGGAGGACGGUUAAAUGUGGGAUUUCAGGCCAAGCAGCUGUCGCCGACGACCUGACGCUGGACAGUGAAAAUAAAACUGAUCAAUGGACAUGAAGUCA
rnacentral:lncRNA from 1 species